rnacentral:lncRNA from 1 species
UGUUCUUGCUAGUGUUAUUUUUGGUGAUAUCAAGUUGGCAAGACACCAAACUCCGAUCUUAGAUAUUUUUGUGUUUAUAAAAGAAUAAUGUAUUGUAUCUUUUAUGAUGCCUUAAGAGUAUCUCUAAUAUGGGUAUUUAAGAGAGUUUCAUAGACUAAUGUACGAUACAUUAUUUUUUUUAUCAUUAGAGUUUCAUGACGUGGCACAUUGAGUUUCGCCGCCUUCUGUUUUGUCAAUCGGUGUGAGUGCAUCAUUUUUUCUGUCUUUUCUCUUCCUCUUCACUAUUUUUGCUUCUUUUUGUUAAUCUAUUUCUUCAACUUCUAAUAUCUGGUUC